CACGUAGGGCGCGAGCGUUGUCCGGAAUUAUUGGGCGUAAAGAGCUCGUAGGCGGCCUGUUGCGUCCGCUGUGAAAGCCCGGGGCUUAACCCCGGGUCUGCAGUGGAUACGGGCAGGCUAGAGGUAGGCAGGGGAGAAUGGAAUUCCCGGUGUAGCGGUGAAAUGCGCAGAUAUCGGGAGGAACACCGGUGGCGAAGGCGGUUCUCUGGGCCUUACCUGACGCUGAGGAGCGAAAGCGUGGGGAGCGAAC
rnacentral:rRNA from 1 species